GGGUAUCCCGGGGCCGCCUAGGGCCCCUGAGUCGGCUUCGCGCGGCGACAUGGACCGGAUGGCCAGUUCCAUGAAGCAGGUACCCAACCCGCUGCCCAAGGUGCUGAGCCGGCGCGGGGUCGGUGCGGGAUUGGAGGCAGCUGAGCGCGAGAGCUUCGAGCGGACUCAGACCAUCCUUGUCUCCUCAUUCCUGCCAGCCUCUUCCAAGAAGCCUUGCCUCCUCAACUCUCCUGGCACCGUCCUUGCACUUCACCUGGCCACUAUCCCUGCCAGAGUGGGCACCACAGACCCCAAGGGCCCAGCCAGUGCCUGAGCCCCAUCUCUAGCCAGAGUCUGAUGUGUUUCCCACCUAGUGGACUGCAAGCAACCUUCAGGCUUUAG